UUGAAUUGAGUAUAAUAAUAGAAAAAUACUAAAUAGAUAUAUAAUAUACAUGUUAAUAAAGAUAAUCAUAAAUGCUAAAUAUAGAAAUAAUAAUUUAAUGAAGAGUAGACAAAGUAUGGUUGUGAUAAUAUUUAUUUUAUGAGUAGCUGUCGAGAUUUGCUUUAGUUUUACUUAAAAAGAUUUUGAAUUCAAGUUUUUAGUUUUUAUGGAGUAGGGGAGAUUGGUGCAUUGAUGUUUUAUAGAGUUUUUACCAUAUCUUAUUGUGCAGCUAUGUUUAACAAAUAUACUUUUGGAUGAUGAGGAUCUAAGGUGAUAGGAGUGUUGGCUACUAGUUUUGGAGAAGGAAGUAAAAGUAUUUGGGAGUCUACCAUGCAAGCAAUCCCAUAGUAAGGCUUUCCACUGCAAAGUUUUGCUCCAAAUCAACUUCCAACGAAUGGAGAAAUGCUCACAAUAUUUUUUUGGCUCAACAUUAGAAAAGAAACUAGGUUGUCCAUAAAAACAGACAGCAAAUAUCUAUGAAAGUUACAAAGAAGUACUUGCAGAAUAUCUAAUAAGUAUCACAACUCAUCAUGUUUUUAUUGCUUUUUCAACUCAAUUUAGAACUGUUAUCUGAAAUAAAGUUGUCACACAAAAUCUGUAUCUUUUUUAUUCUAUUAGAUAUAUUGUAAAUCAAAACCAGUGUUCUAUAAGUGUUAUAAAUUUAGAACUAUAUUCGGAAUUUAAAAUGUAAUAUUCAGCAAAAAUUCAAUUAUAUAGAAACCGCAUUCUUUACCUUAGAGUUGAUUUUGAAGUCUGAAAUUUUCACUAUAAGCUACUAAUACAUAAUGGUAACAAUUGAACUUUUCCACAUUUUGAUUUUCAAAAAAAAAAAUUUUUUUGAGAUACCCUAAUACAGAGGUUGAAAAUGGUAUAAAUUCAAACUUUGUCCACAUUCUUCAAAAACAUUGAUAAAGAAAAUUUUAUUGAAUAUCUGUAAGUCAAUAGAUUGAUGAUAAAGAAGGAAAGACAUGUUUGUGGACAUGCUACGAAUGCUUAAAAAUUCAAGCAAUUCAAUGUAUGUCUACUCAUUUACUUUGUUAACAUUUACUUUGUUAUACUACAGUAAUUAAAUCAUAAAAUUAAUGUAUCGAGACUUGAGAAUAGCGUUUCCAUAAACCUGCAAAUGUUUUUUCAUGUUAAAUAUUGAUCUAGUUUUAUUUUUACGAAGCCAUAUGUCCUGAGAACUUCAGUACUUAAAAGCCAUAUAUCCUGAGAACUUCAGUACUCAAACUAGGUAAAACUAUCUUUGAUUUAGCUUUGAAUAUUUAUAAAGUGACGCACAGCCUUGUUAUUCUCAUGUUUUCAUAUGUUGUACUAAUUUUGUCUAGCUGUCUAAUUAUUUAUCUUUAAUUGAUAUUAUUUGAAAAAAAGAUAGUUUUGCAUGGAGAUGUUUUGGAUGAAUGAUUGUUUAGUGUGAAUUAGGUGUAAUGCCACAUAACAUUUUUUAGUUAAUGCUUUUGUAGUGUGCAAGUUCAAAAACAAAUCUUUUGUAGUGUGCAAGUUCAAGAAGUUCCUGUGAGCAGCGCUGCUUUAUAAAAGUUUGCAAAAAAUUUUAAAUUUAAUGCAGAUGUCUAAAAAUGACAGGGCGGCUUUAUAGGUUAUUUAUAGGAAUUAUAAGUAUUUUGUAUGAUAAACUGUGGUAAUUACUUGACUUUUUUUUUUUUUUUUUUUGUGUGCAUGUUAAUGAAAAUUAUUCUUUGUAGUUAUAUAUAUAAAUAUUUCGUUUUGUUUUUAUGUAAUUUCUGACGAAAAUCAUCAAGCAAGAUAAUAAAAAUUGAAAGAAAAGAUAUGAAAUUUUUUAUUGUAAAUGUGAUUGUGUAUUAAUGAUUGGCUUUUUUGGUAUACGAUGUAAUGAUGUCUGAUGAUUUUGUUAUAUCAUCUUAAAUUAUUUUAUUGCAUAAUAUAUUUUGGUUUUGUUUCCUGGA